UUGCAACAGCUAAGAAGUAUUUUCUUGAAUGGACUGGGCAUCAUUGCCUUCAGACUCCCCUGGACCCAUCAGCUCAGCAAAGAAUCUGUGAAGUUGAUCCAUGCGGCAUUGAAUACCUUGGCCUUCUUCUGCGCCAUAAUGGCUCUCAAGGCUGUUUUUGGUUCCCAAAGUGGUUCCAAUUUCCCGGAUUUGUUCAGCCUGCACAGCUGGCUGGGCAUAACUGUUGUUUCACUGUUUGGCAUAGAGAUUGCUCUUGCAGCCAGCAUCUACUUGUUUCCAAUCACACCAGAGUCCUGGAAAGCAGCGUUUCACCCCCUCCAUGUGUUCCUUGGACGUUUUCUCUUCGGUAGCACGAUAUGUGUGUCACUCAUUGGCCUUACAGAGAGACUCAUUUUUAGCUUGAACGACCCAAAGUACUCGGACUCCCCACCAGAGGCAUUCUUUGCAAAUGUAAUGGGAUUGUUGCUGGUGGCCUACGGUGUUGCAAUCUUCUGGAUUUCAACUAAUAAAUCUUGGAAACACCCCGGCCCGCCAAUUUGGCAUACCAGUGGGCUGCUUGAGGAUAAGAUAAAAUAAGCUGUCAAGUCGAAGCUGAGAGUUGAGAGGUGUGAGGAGGAGGAGGGAUAACAAACAAAUUACCAAGACCUUUGAUUCAAAUAGAAAUGAUAAAGAGCAGAUGCUUUGAAUGUAUGUUUGUUUAGUCUAAACUGGUUAAAGAUUGUCUAAAGAGGAAAUUUACGCUUGCUGAUCUUUCUAUUCAUGACUUUAUUUCUUUGAACCUAAAACUAUUUCAUGUUUAUUAAGAUUGUUUUUUUGGUAACAUUUCAUAUUAAAAACAUGCAUGAAUAUUCAUAGUGUCAAUCAAUCCCAAUAUGGAGGCUAUAAAUUAUGGUGCUGGUAUAUAUUUAAACUGUUAAAAAAAGAUAUAUUGUCAUGUUGUUUUUAUAUUCAUUUAUAGGCUUUAUCAUGUUUCUUGGGUUGAGUAGAAUUAAAAACAUGUUUGGAAAACAGAACCUCACUGAAAUAAAUAAAAAAAUCUGAAACUUC